GUAUAUCUAUGGUCGGCACGUCUGGUAGCAUCUCUGGCUGCUGUUGACCUUGUUUUUGGAGUAAAACACGGUGGAAGCUGAAUUAGUGAGGAUGACUCCUGCUCCUGUCAUCUCUAAACUCCUCACACAUCUUUACCUGCACAUGAGGAAAAUCACUCCUGUAGAAUGCAGUGGUUCAUCAGAACCUCUGGGGAUGUCCUGUGGAUUCUGUGGAUCCUGUGGGUUGCAGGGUGGGUCCUACCUAGACCAGGCUGAUCCUGGACCAUCCCACAGAUGCUCAAUCAGAUCUGGAUGUGGGGAGUGUGGAACCCAGAUGUUCAGAGGGAGAUGAUGCCACAUCUGGUCCAGCUGAUGGAAGGUCUUGAAGUUCUCUGACUGGCCUCGACUGAAGAUGGUCGUCUCACUGGAUUUAAGGUUCAGAUGCUCAGUAACAAACUCCACCAAUGAGCCAACAGGGAAGCUUUAGGUUUAUUAAAUGUUGCUAUGAAGGUUUUGCUGUUUUUCUUUGUGAAUGCAAUGUGUUCCAACUGAAACUUGAAUUAGAACUUAGAAGUAAAUCCUUCCAUCUGAAAGGAUUUAGUUGCAUUAAUAACCUCAUAACAUUCUAGUUUUUAUUCCAGUCUUGGUUGGAAAUAGAAUCUCUGUAUUGAUUCAGGUAAAAACUGAACUUCACAGCAUGUUGGAGCAAAACAACCAGAUGAAAACUGUGAUGGUGUUGGAUUGUCAGACCGUAAUGUUCAGCUCAAAGCAGCUUUUCUAUCUCAGUUCAUUCUGACAUUCAGCUAUGAAUCAACACAGCAGAUGGUGAUCCAUGCUGUGGAAGUCUCACAUCUCCUGAUUUAAUGGAGCUGCUUUGUACUUUUUACACAGUUUAUUCACCAACACUUUAUUUAAUAAAAGUCCC
ensembl:lncRNA